rnacentral:rRNA from 1 species
UACAGAGGCCCCCGAGCGUUAGUCGGAAUCACUGGGCUUAAAGGGUGCGUAGGCGGACCGGAACGCGUCCCCGUGAAAUCCCACGGCCCAACCGUGGAACGUGCGGGGCGGAACGACGGUCGUCGAGGCAGGUGAUGGGCGGGGCAGAACGAGUAGGUGGAGCGGUGAAAUGCGUAGAUAUCGCUUGGAACGCCGAAGGUGAAAACAGACUGCUGGGGUUGCGCCGACGCUGAGACACGAAAGCCAGGGGAGCAAACGGG